rnacentral:rRNA from 1 species
AUUGAACGCUGGCGGCAUGCCUAACACAUGCAAGUCGAACGGGGCAGCAAUGCCUAGUGGCGGACGGGUGAGGAAUACGUAGGAAUCUGCCCUUAAGUGGGGGAUAACCAGGGGAAACCCUGACUAAUACCGCAUGAUCUCUUCGGAGCAAAGAGGGGGACCGCAAGGCCUCUCGCUUCUGGAUGAGCCUACGUCUGAUUAGCUAGUUGGUAGGGUAAAGGCCUACCAAGGCGACGAUCAGUAACUGGUCUGAGAGGAUGAUCAGUCAAACCGGAACUGAGACACGGGCCGGACUCCUACGGGAGGCAGCAGUGGGGAAUAUUGGACAAUGGGCGCAAGCCUGAUCCAGCGAUGCCGCGUGUGUGAAGAAGGCCUUCGGGUUGUAAAGCACUUUAGCCUGGAAAGAAAAAACUUUGGUUAACACCCAAAGUCUUGACGGUACCAGGAGAAUAAGCACCGGCUAACUCUGUGCCAGCCGCCGCUGUAAAAC